rnacentral:rRNA from 1 species
ACGACUCUCGGCAACGGAUAUCUCGGCUCUCGCAUCGAUGAAGAACGUAGCGAAAUGCGAUACCUGGUGUGAAUUGCAGAAUCCCGCGAACCAUCGAGUCUUUGAACGCAAGUUGCGUCCGAGGCCACUCGGCCGAGGGCACGCCUGCCUGGGCGUCACGC